rnacentral:lncRNA from 1 species
UUAGUUGUUACAACUUGUCGACCAGUGGGAAACCUCAUUGCUUGAAUAAGCAGCGGGGAGGCGCGGAAGGCGCCGAAAACAACUACUACGAAGAGAGUUUACCUGCAAGGCACGGAAAUGCAAGAUGGCACGAGAAAUUGCAUAGGAGCCUUCGCGCAUUUCCGUUAACUCGCACUUUGAUUUGGUCCAUUCUGUUUACAGCAGGUAAGGCCAUGCAGGCUACAGUGCGCACAGCAGGCCAGUUCUUACACCCAAAGCCCACAGCCGUCCCUGUCACUGAUCGCAAAGCAUUCUGUUAAAUGAUCUUUAUAGGAAACAACAGCUACCGAGGUAGGGCGGCAUCUCAUCUGCGGUCGGCGGUGCGUAACCCAUCUACCUGCAACUACACCUGCCCGGUACGAAACUAUACGAUACGAAAUUGGGUCUCGAUACGAAGUGGGGGCUCCAGGAAGGUUCUCAGCCACUUCCAGCGAAAAGACACUGAUCGGCAAAGGCUGGCACUUAUUGGUCUAGACGGAACCGCACAAGGCAACAAACGAUUUCGGUGCUCCACUGAACACCCUGUACUCUGUGAACUGGACCCGGGAAACCCCCCCCCAAGCGCUAGCUAGGCGUGCGGCUGCGUGCGGUGACCCCAUGUCCUCAACCUAUAACUGCUUGCGGGUGCUAUUAGUAACCUGACCAGAACCUAUCACUCCUAUGCUAUUAGUAACCUGACCAGAACCUAUCACUCCUAUCAGUCAACACGAGAGAAGAAAAGGAAUAGAGCUACCCACACUGGUAUGCCAUAGCGUUGCGCCUGCUAUUUCUGACCCUCGUUAGCCAGACACUGUUGGAUAAGGUUCGCCAAUUUCACCUGGUCAACCGCUGUCACCGAGUCCGUCAUAGUCUGGUCUAUCUGGAUCCCGACAGAAAGCCCCUGCAUGUGCUAUAUAUGCUGGGCACUCCAAGAGUACAUGCUCUUCAUCCUCCACGGCUUGGAGCUCGUAAUACUUACGGUUUUGCAAAUGGAACCCCACUUGCAACUCAAAGCACCUCAUCCGCAGGUCGAGGGCCCACAACUAAGGCUUGCCUAGCUUGGCUAAUAAGCUAACCAUAGCCCCCCUCUCGGCCUCAGCAGUGAGAGCUGCUCGACAAGCUGAACCUGCUGACGUACCUACAGCACGUGUUUUACAUCCCCAAUCUUGUGUCGAUCACGCUGAAGGCAAUUAAAGCAUGCCCAGCAUGCAUAUGACGAGCUUUUCUCUGCGUUCAAUGCUGCUGCCCUUCACACCCACACAG